rnacentral:rRNA from 1 species
UCUUGGUCAAUUUAGAGGAAGUAAAAGUCGUAACAAGGUUUCCGUAGGUGAACCUGCGGAAGGAUCAUUAGUGAAUAAACAAGUGCAGGUUGUGCUGGCCUUCUUGGUAUGUGCACGCCUGCCAAAGUUUCAUUCCAUCUUCCCACCUGUGCACUCUGUGUAGAUUCUGUAUGCUGUUGUCAAGCUCUAUUGUGCUUGGUUGAGAGGAGUUGCUUGUUUUCACAAACAAGCUCUUCUUGGGCAUGCAGGUCUAUGUUUAAAUCAACACCAUAUGAAUGUUUUAGAAUGUGUUUUAGGCUUUUGGCCUUUAAAUUAUAUACAACUUUCAACAACGGAUCUCUUGGCUCUCGCAUCGAUGAAGAACGCAGCGAAAUGCGAUAAGUAAUGUGAAUUGCAGAAUUCAGUGAAUCAUCGAAUCUUUGAACGCACCUUGCGCUCCUUGGUAUUCCGAGGAGCAUGCCUGUUUGAGUGUCAUUAAAUUCUCAAUCCCUACAACCUUGUGUUGUUUGGUGAUUGGAUUAUGGGGGUUUGCUGGCCUCGUUCAGCUCCCCUGAAAAGCAUUAGCAGGACAUUAUGCCAUCUGUGCUUUGUAUGAUAUUUAUCUAUACACUGUACCUAUUGUGCACAACUGCUUCUAACUGUCACUUCUGACAUUUGACCAAUUUGACCUCAAAUCAGGUAGGACUACCCGCUGAACUUAAGCAUAUCAAUA